CCUACGGGACGCAGCAGUGAGGAAUAUUGGUCAAUGGGAGAGAUCCUGAACCAGCCAAGCCGCGUGAGGGAAGACGGCCCUAUGGGUUGUAAACCUCUUUUGUCGGAGAACAAAAUCCGGGACGUGUCCCGGACUGCGUGUAUCCGAAGAAAAAGCAUCGGCUAACUCCGUGCCAGCAGCCGCGGUAAUACGGAGGAUGCGAGCGUUAUCCGGAUUUAUUGGGUUUAAAGGGUGCGCAGGCGGAGAUGCAAGUCAGCGGUCAAAUUGCGGGGCUCAACACCGUACUGCCGUUGAAACUGCAUCCC
rnacentral:rRNA from 1 species